GGGGAUUANUGGCGAACGGGUGAGUAACACGUGAGUAACCUGCCCUUAACUCUGGGAUAAGCCUGGGAAACUGGGUCUAAUACCGGAUAUGACUCCUCAUCGCAUGGUGGGGGGUGGAAAGCUUUUGUGGUUUUGGAUGGACUCGCGGCCUAUCAGCUUGUUGGUGAGGUAAUGGCUCACCAAGGCGACGACGGGUAGCCGGCCUGAGAGGGUGACCGGCCACACUGGGACUGAGACACGGCCCAGACUCCUACGGGAGGCAGCAGUGGGGAAUAUUGCACAAUGGGCGCAAGCCUGAUGCAGCGACGCCGCGUGAGGGAUGACGGCCUUCGGGUUGUAAACCUCUUUCAGUAGGGAAGAAGCGAAAGUGACGGUACCUGCAGAAGAAGCGCCGGCUAACUACGUGCCAGCAGCCGCGGUAAUACGUAGGGCGCAAGCGUUAUCCGGAAUUAUUGGGCGUAAAGAGCUCGUAGGCGGUUUGUCGCGUCUGCCGUGAAAGUCCGGGGCUCAACUCCGGAUCUGCGGUGGGUACGGGCAGACUAGAGUGAUGUAGGGGAGACUGGAAUUCCUGGUGUAGCGGUGAAAUGCGCAGAUAUCAGGAGGAACACCGAUGGCGAAGGCAGGUCUCUGGGCAUUAACUGACGCUGAGGAGCGAAAGCAUGGGGAGCGAACAGGAUUAGAUACCCUGGUAGUCCAUGCCGUAAACGUUGGGCACUAGGUGUGGGGGACAUUCCACGUUUUCCGCGCCGUAGCUAACGCAUUAAGUGCCCCGCCUGGGGAGUACGGCCGCAAGGCUAAAACUCAAAGGAAUUGACGGGGCCCGCACAAGCGGCGGAGCAUGCGAUUAAUUCGAUGCAACCCGAA
rnacentral:rRNA from 1 species